GAGAGAGAAAUUUAAAAAAGAAACAUCCAAGAUCAAGGAAAUAAUCAUUACUUUCCCAGAAAAUCUGGAAGAAUGCUCCUAUUAGAAAGCAUAGGGAAUGAGACGUCAUAGAACUAGGAAAAGACUAGAGUGGCAGUGAGAUAAGACAAUAUGCUUGCAAAUUGCCAGCCCUCACUGACUCACUCACUGGCUGACAUGAAACUCCCACCACCAAACUACAAAAUAUGACUAAUUGUUCUGAUUGUAGUUGCUGCCUGCUGAGGAAACAGCACUCAACAUAUUCUCAGAGGCACAUGAUAUCCAAUUCAGCUUCAACAUUGCUGUAAUACGAAUUCCCAGCAUUUGCUGUUGCCGCCAGUACACUAUCUGACUGGGCAUCAGACCUCAUAGCCUUAUGGCAUCAUUAUCAGUCUCUGAGCCAAAGCCCAAUGCCUCAGAAUGAUGCAGGGAAGGGGAUUAGCUCGCCACCCUUGUCCUCCUCCUGCCUUGCCGUUUUUAGCUGGCUCCCUUUCUGGAGAAGCCCAGCUCUCAAAUGUAGGCUGCCUUAAUCACUGGCUGUCUCUCUGUUAAAUAGCCCAGUGCAAUCUGGGCAGGCUUCAAAGGCCCUCUUAAGGCCCGCUCCCUCCAGAGCCUUUUUCCUUCUUCCCCAGCUGUCUCAUGGUUUCCCAGGGAUCUUCUGGGGCUUCACCACAUUGGGUGGCUCCGUGAGAGACGGAGGCUGGUCAGGGAUCCCAUGUGGCUUUCUCCUCCAGCCCCAAAGUGGGGGGAGGAGAUGGAAGGAGGAGGGAUGCCCCUUGCCAUGGGAGUGCCACUGCCUACAUCAGGUUAAUUUGUUAAGGGAUGCUGAAUGUGUUGGAUCGUCCAGCUACACUGCAUUGAAAGAAGUUUUGUUUAAAUCAUCAUCAUCAUGCAGAAUAAAUGCAGAUGUCUGAGACCGUUUUCCCCUGGUCAGUGAGUCAAUGUCUGGUUUUAUGUCUUGUGCUGUAGCAACCUGCAAAACAGCAGCUUUUUCUAAGAGCAGGCACCAACAGAGCGCCAAAACAGAUGCCAACAGAGCACGCGCCAAACUGAGCAGGGAGUGGAGGAGGGGGGCUUUUUCUUUCCUCUCUAACGCCAAAGCGAGAACAUCAAAAACUUUAAAGAGCUUCACAAUAAAAACAGAGCCUCAACUAGAGAGAAUUACAGACAAAACCCUCAUCACUAACAGCCUUCUGAAAUAAUGUGGUAUCCAGAUUUUGGAGCAUUCUAGAUUCCGGAUGUCUGGAUAAGGGAUACUCAACCUAUAUCUAACAGCUGGCUACAUGUUGGUCAGAGAGAGACCUAUAGAAGCAUGGUGCUCAGAGAGAAAGAGCUGGAAGCAUUGUGAGGAGAAGAAGAAGGAAGUCACUCUCAGGAAGUUCAUGAAUACAUUCUAUCAAUAGAGGGGUCAUAGAGGCAGAGAUAAACAGGCAAGAGGAGACCCUAACUAUUGAUCUCUACUCCCAGUGCCCCUAGUGGUCAUUAGGGUUACUUGUGCAAAAGGUUGAUGCCAUCUGGAGCUGGAUCUCCAACAAUGGCUCCUGUGAUCAGCUCCUCCAGAGCCGCUAAUUAGGAUCGUGGGGACACUCUACUGCAACAACCCAGCAGUAACAGUGAUUAUGUACUGGGCUCACCUGCAGAUCCUGGCUAAUCUCCCUCAUAAUUUCAGGAAAGCAAUUGUCUGAACAUAGCCUAAGCAUGUAAGAAAGUAAGUUUAUUGUUGUAACCACAUCUCACAACCCACAUAUUAAAGCAUAAUAAAACAACAUAAAACAUAAUAGCUUAAAGAAAAACAGAUGACAUAAUAAGACAGUAAAAAAGAUGUACCAUCUAACAUAAAUAACUAAAAUAAGGAAACACACCCACCAGCAAGUAAUUAACACAUUCUGUUUCAAAACCCAUGAAUUGAUCAAUAAUCUGACCCGGUGUGUUUCCCCCCCUCAUACUGUUCCAUAGAACAAGCAGUGUAGGACAUAAUGUUUAAUGUCCUCCACUUGCCCCUGGCCACAGGGGCAAACAGAGACGUUCUUUCAUGGGAAGUUUGUGAAGUCUACCCUCAAGAUAUACCAAAGUCAUAGUUUGAAAACAUAGACUGGUGAAUGCCUUCCUUAGUGGUAGGCUGGUGAGGCUGAGUAGGUACUGUGAAGUGGAUCGGUUUUUCUUGAAAUGAUGAUACCACAGGGAGAACUUUGAAAUGUUGGAACAAACCAGCAUCUCGGCUGGCAUCCCACUCAAGGAGCCAAUCAUGGAUUUGCCCCAUGACUUAAGUUCCUCUAGUGAAGGCAGAGAGUACAUUUGUAGAAUAUGGGAUAGCAUAUCUGCCCACUCAUUCCCCUUUUGGUAGUGCCAGUAGCAUGAUUUAACAUGAUGGUCUUGGUCUUCCGGAAGGUUGUCAAAUUUCUUAAAAUAUUUUCGCAGUAUCAGAUGGACUCUAACAGAGAUUGAGGGCAGCCCUGCUUCCAUUCUCAGAUGUGCAGCAGGGAAGGCCGGUGGAAGGCCAAAAAUGUUCCUCAGGAAAUUAUUCUGGACUAUUUCAAAUUUCUCACUCACUUUUACAUUUCACCUCCAAAUCUCUGCCCCAUACAAAAGCUGCUGAAUUACUUUGCCCUGGAAUAUUUUGAGUGCAGGAGCUAUUAAUUUACCCCCCAACCCGCAAGAAUUCUUAAAUGAUCCCUACUGUACACCGUGCAGUUAAUAGGGCUGCAUUAAUUUGGACUGACCAAAAUAAAGAUUUCUGAAAGGAGACAGCCAAAUAUUUAACGGAGGGGCAUUGUUCUAUUUGCUGAGUGUUAAUUGUUCAUCUAUAUUUGAUUCUACUAGUACCCAAA